rnacentral:rRNA from 1 species
AUUGAACGCUGGCGGCAUGCUUUACACAUGCAAGUCGAACGGUAACAGGUUAAGCUGACGAGUGGCGAACGGGUGAGUAAUGCAUCGGAACGUGCCCGAUCGUGGGGGAUAACACUUCGAAAGAAGUGCUAAUACCGCAUACGAUCUGAGGAUGAAAGCGGGGGACCGUAAGGCCUCGCGCGAUCGGAGCGGCCGAUGUCAGAUUAGGUAGUUGGUGGGGUAAAGGCCUACCAAGCCGACGAUCUGUAGCUGGUCUGAGAGGACGACCAGCCACACUGGGACUGAGACACGGCCCAGUCUCCUACGGGAGGCAGCAGUGGGGAAUUUUGGACAAUGGGCGCAAGCCUGAUCCAGCAAUGCCGCGUGCAGGAAGAAGGCCUUCGGGUUGUAAACUGCUUUUGUACGGAGCGAAAAGGCUCUCUCUAAUACAGGGGGCUGAUGACGGUACCGUAAGAAUAAGCACCGGCUAACUACGUGCCAGCCGCCGCAGUAC